AACGCUGGCGGCGCGUCUUAAGCAUGGCAAGUCGAACGGCAAGAGGUAGCAAUACCGUCCUAGGAGUGGCGGACUGGUGAGUAACACGUGGGUGACAUACCCGUUCAGAUGGGGAUAGCUAUUAGAAAUAGUAGAUAAUACCGAAUACGAGCACAGGGGUUAGAGAUCUGUGAGGAAAGGAGCUAAGGCUCCGCUGAAGGAAUGGCCUGCGGCCCAUUAGCUAGUUGGUGAGGUAAGAGCCCACCAAGGCGAUGAUGGGUAUCCGGCCUUAGAGGGUGAACGGACACAUUGGGACUGAGAUACGGCCCAGACUCCUACGGGAGCAGCAGCUAAGAAUAUUCCGCAAUGGACGAAAGUCUGACGGAGCGACGCCGCCGUGGAUGAAGAAGGCCGGAAGGUUGUAAAAUCCUUUUGAAACUGAAGAAUAAGCGUUGUAGGGAAUGACAGCGUGGUGACAGUAGGUUUUGAAUAAGCAACGGCUAAUUACGUGCCAGCCGCGGC
rnacentral:rRNA from 1 species